rnacentral:lncRNA from 1 species
AGAACAAUGAGGAUAGAACCGAGGGCUUUCCAUUGAUAAUAGCUGUGAAAAUAUUACACCAAAUGGGCUAGAAACUGGAACACCUCGAAACGAAGAUACAGAACAAACUACAGUAGACCGGCCAACUAGACACACAACCGACCACGGCCGUCAUAUCAAAGCAUCAGAAGGGGAGGCGGCCUAGCCGCCGAAGCCGUAGAGCGUGCGGCCCUGGCGCUUGAGCGCGUAGACGACAUCCAUGGCGGUGACGGUCUUGCGGCGAGCGUGCUCGGUGUAGGUGACGGCGUCGCGGAUGACGUUCUCGAGGAAGAUCUUGAGCACGCCGCGGGUCUCCUCGUAGAUGAGCCCAGAAAUGCGCUUGACGCCGCCCCUCCUGGCCAGCCUACGGAUCGCCGGCUUCG